AAAAUGAAAUAAAAGAAGAGGAGUAUUAUAUGUAUCAAAAAAUGUUAUUUAGUAGUAAAACUUAUAAAAAUAACUAUUUGAAAAUAUGUCGAAAUUUGUUUGUAAUACCUAGUGACUUAAAAGUAGGGGGAAUUACUAAUGUUACAAUAAGUGCGACAGGUGAUACAUCCAUAAGUAGAGGUGGUGGUUUAAGUACUAGCUUACAUACAAAAAUAAUAUCAAGCAAAAAGAAUCAUCUGUUUUAUUACCAUAUUUAUAAUUAUCAAAAAGAAAGUUUGAUUGAUUAUAUUUUGUUAAUAUCUAACUAUAUACUUACCUACUACGACUGUAACAUAAUAAAAAAAGGUUUAAAUUUAUUUAUAGAUAUAUCCACUUCAAUUACAUUCAUUACUUUUGAUGCAUCUUGUUUUAAUAUAUUAUUAAAAAUCAUGAAAAAUAUUUUAUCGACAUUUUUAUUUUACGAAGUAACAAUUUUUACAUUGCAAGCAGAUGAUAAAAUAUCACCUAAUAUUAAUAAACAAAAUAAAAGAUAUAUUUCUGACAAUUUCAUUAAUAAUAACAGUAAUAUGUUUGAUUAUGUUACUGAUGGAAUAACAACUGAAGAGAUAUAUACAGGAGAUAUGAAUGCUUUUAUGAAAGACGAUGUAAGUAAUGUAAAUUCUUAUUUAAAUAUUUUUACUGAUUCUUUUAUAAAAAUAGCUAAAAAUUAUUUUAUUUUACAUAAACAAGUGUUUAAUAUAAAUACAGAUGGUGCUUUGGAUACUGUAAGUACAAACACUAUACUUAAUAAACUUGUUCAUAUUGACACGAUCAGACAAUUUUUUUACUUUUUAAUGAAUUUUACACUCCUUCCAAUACAUUAAAUGCCGAAACUGUUAUUAUUGACUUGGUAACUGUUGGCGAGUCCAGCUCCUUAAAACAGUUUUUAAUCAACAGUAGGAAGGAAAAAAUUAAAAAGAGUUAAAAAAUUAAAAAAAGGUUCAUUUUUUUUAUAUCCAGUGGACGGUACCAACCCACGCAAUGCACAAUGCACGCUCAUUUAUAUCAUUCCAUCGUUGUGCCAUUCCAUCGU
rnacentral:lncRNA from 1 species